rnacentral:rRNA from 1 species
CUACGGGUCGCUCCAGUGAGGAAUUUUGCGCAAUGGGGGAAACCCUGACGCAGCAACGCCGCGUGAGCGAAGAAGGCCCUCGGGUCGUAAAGCUCUGUCAAGUGGGAAAAAAAUCUUUUGAUCAAUAGUCAAAAGACUUGAUGGUACCACUGGAGGAAGCACCGGCGAACUCCGUGCCAGCAGCCGCGGUAAUACGGAGGGUGCAAGCGUUGUUCGGAUUUACUGGGCGUAAAGAGCGUGUAGGCGGUUUAGCAAGUCAGAUGUGAAAGCCCUGGGCUCAACCCGGGAAGUGCAUUUGAAACUGCUUCACUAGAGUAUGGGAGAGGAGAUUGGAAUUCCUGGUGUAGAGGUGAAAUUCGUAGAUAUCAGGAGGAACACCCGUGGCGAAGGCGAUUCUCUGGACCAAUACUGACGCUGAGACGCGAAAGCGUGGGGAGCAAACAGGAUUAGAUACCCUAGUAGUC